UCUGCACAGGAGCUGAUCUCUUCAAGGAAGGGUCCCAGCCAACCUCCCUGCUGCCUGCAGGCUGCAUCUGAUCUGAGUGGAGGUCAAAGGCAGGUGUCCAUGGCUGUGAGCCUCUGCCCACACUUCAGGUGUGGUCACCCUGCCUUGUUCUCCAGGUUUAGCUAAGGACAAUGCCAGAGGGUUGUUUGGUGCCAGUCAUUUUGGAAUAAGAGAUUUCUGUGUUACUUCAUCAUAAUAUUGUUUGAAUGGCGACCAACCUGGAACAAACAUCUAAGUCAUACUGGGCGCCAAUAUCCAUACUAAAAUAUGGCUUUCAUCAGAGCUCAUGAUGCUUGUAUGAGACAGUUAAGAUUAUCUCCAACAAAAAGCAUUUUUCUGUCCUUGUGAGAAAGGAGAGCAUAUCUGCAAAACCUUCCUGCUACUCAUGUUUUAAUGUCCUGCCUGAAUCCCAGAGCUUGUUAGAGGUGGCAACUGGAAAAGGAAAACCAAUGACAGUUUCAACGACAGUUUCCCUAGGGAAGAGAGGAAACACAGAUGCAAAAAGUCUCAACUGAAGUUCCACCAAGCUAAUAUAAUUUAAGUUUUCAGACUUGAGAAAAGCAAGAUGAAGAGGAAUCCUUAUACUUAAUUCUGAUGUUGGAAACAAGUGUCAGUACUCAGGAAGAUGAAACAUGUGUAAGUCAAAUAAACACAAAACCAGAGUGUUUUCUGGUUAUUAAAGCCUCCCUUCUCGAGCCAGAACUUCUAUCUACUUUGGCAAAUAGGAUCUUACACCUGUUUAUGGACUAGAUCAAGACUAUUUAGUAAACAAGUGUUUAGUAUGUUUAUUGUAGUUAUUCUUUUGUGUACAUGCUAUAAAACUAUAAAUUGGAGGAUAAUUUUUUUUUUGACAGCAUAGUCUUUUGGAUAAGUUAGCUUGGGGACCACUGGCUGUUCAAUACUUACAUACAUUGGAAGGUCUGAGAACAGGAGCCAAAUAUCUGUGUUGUCUGACCUGCAUACAUUGAAUCACAGAACCACAGAACCUCUGCUGUCAGAGAAGAGCUCUUAGAUCAUCACCACCUUACUGUUAAACCAUGUCCUCAAUACCACAUCCACACCUUUUUGAACUGUUCCAGGGAUGCUGAUUCCAAUAUCUGGCCAUUCUCUGGAGAUUCAUGUUAGAUCUUAGCACAGAUUUUUGGUCACUGAUCAUCCAAAUCUACCUGAAACUUUGGCUCCAAUCUCCCAGAUUAUAUCUGGGAAUCACAUCCCUGUACAUGACAGAGCACAUGGCAGAAAGGCACCAGGUCAUGCUUCCGUACUUCCUUCAGGUGGAAGUAGGAUUCAAGUUGUGCUCAUGUAUCCAUCAAGUCAGGAUGAUUAGAUCAUCUGGAUCUGAACACUUGGAAGAAAGUGGAAGAAUUUUGAUGCCUAGCCUGAGGAAUGCAACCCUGGAGAAAAAGAAAUUUAAGAGGAAAUUCACCUGAUAAUCAGGAAAACCAUUCUCAUAUCCCUAAAGCAGACUCCUUUUCUAUAUGUGUUGUUCAGGAAGGGAUGUGUUGUACAACUCUUCUGAUGGCUCAGAAGUCAUUUCCAUUUGCUACUAUAAUGAUGCCACAAAUUUCCCAUUUCUUAUCCUGUCUUUUUGGCAGUAGAAAAUUUUAAGGCAUUUUUUAGUCUUUGCAAGAAAAAAUAGUGCAAUCAGAGUUCGGCUGUUGGGGUUUUUUAAAAAAAAAUCUUUUGGUUAUGACUCCUUGUUCUGUUCACAGUUAUGUUUGUAUUAACGCUGUCUUUGCAGGCAUAAAUUAUCCUUCCAGAUUCCUGAAUGGAUGUGAAGUGCAUUAAUUAGCAGAUUGCCUGAUUUAAUAAUUUUUUUAACAUUAUGAUAUAUCACUAAAGUAAUCAUAUCAUUGAGGUACUUUCUGCCUGAUUCAAAGCCUGUUUUAAAGAAUUUUUGCAAAGUUUCUCCUGGAGUUUUGCAUGUGUUUGAUUACUGAUAACUUAUCACCAAUGUGCACUUGUAGGAGAAACAUUGGCUUUAUUGUGUCUGUUUCCAGUCUUGGGCUCAUGACUUAAGGGUUUUACCAUAGAAAUUCCAUUAUUGCCACCAGAUAAAACAGAGUCUGAGUUUGAGGCACAGCAUUCAAAUUUCAGCUAUUCAAAUGAACUAAGGCAAAUGAAUGCAACAUCUUAGCACAUGAAAAUUUUUCUCAUAUGUUCCUGGCAUUUCCACUGAACUCCCUCUGACAUCUCAUUUUGAAAGCUGGAAAUGUGGUGAAUACAUACUCUCCCUUCAUGAGAUUUUAUUUUCACUGAUACCUUUAGAUAUAAAGCCUGGAGGAUGCAGUAAAAAGCUGGCAUGCAGGGAGCUGGUAACUUUUAGGAAUGUCACCUGUGCUUCUGUGAUUUACUGUUUUUCAACUUACUGAAUGGAAGUAAAGGAAUUUUAAAAAAUAGCGUCAGAGACAAUGUGGCCAAAACCUGCUCCUCACUGAAGUGCAGGAUUCUGAGGCGUUCUGGAUAAACACUUUUGUCAGUUGGCUGGAGUCAGAGGUUUAAGAAUGCAGAGUGCAAAAAUUAUUCUUUCAGAGGAUCUGAUCUUGUAAAGCAUGUAUGAAUUUUAUUAUCCUACCUGACUUGCCUGCCAAGGGCUUACCUUUACCCAGACUCAGUAAAGCCUCUGAUAGUGUCUCCCAUAGGAUUCUCUUGGAGGAGCUGUCAGCCCACGGUUUAGACUGGUGCACUCUUUACUGGGUUACAAACUGUUUGGAUGGCCAGGCCCAGAGGGUGGUGGUGGAUGGAAUUACAUCCAGCUGGAUGUGGCUCACCAGUGUUCUCCUGGGAUCAGUUGGGGCCAGUCCUGUUUAAAGUCAUUAUUAGUGACCUGGGUGAGAGGAUCAAGUGCACUCUCAGUCAGGUCACAGACAACACCAAGUUGGGAAGGAGUGCUGACCUGCUGGAGGGCAGGAAGGCUCUGCAUGGAAAUCUGGACAGGCUGGACUGAUGCUGAAGGCAAUUUUAUGAGGAUCAACAGGCCAAGUGCUGUCUCCUGCUUUUGGAUCCCAACAACCCCUGCAGUGCUACAGGCUGGGGAAGAGUGGCUGUAAAGAGAACAAGAGGAGAAGGACCAGGGGGUUUUGGUUAACAACAGCUGAACAUGAGCCAGAGUGUGCCCACAUGGCCAGGAAUGCCAGACAGAAUUUGUGUCCAGCAGGAGCAGGGCGGUGAUUGUUCUCCUGCACUUGGCACAGGUGAGGCCACACCUCAAAUCCUGUGUUAGUUCUAUGAUUCGAUGAGUCUAGUGUCAGCCUCAAAGAGGUCAUGUAAAAAUUAUUAGGUUAUCUUUAUUAAGUCUCCCAUGAAGAAAGAAGCGCUAAAUUAAGCACUCAACUUCUCAUUUUAAAGUGGUUGAGAAAUCCACAAGUAUAUUCACAAAUCACAACUAGAAUCCCAUCAGCCCAUAUGCAGUAGAACUGCCAUCAAAAAUAAAGCUGGGGUUCUUCAUAGAAGAAACAGGAAAAAACACACUUUUUUUUUUAAGUCUACUAUAUUAACACUGCUGUUAAUAUAACACACUUCCACAUGAAUUUCAUUGUCAUGAGAGCAAUGAUACUGAGAUAAACAAGGUUCAUAUUAACACCUGAACUUUUAUUUUGAAC